rnacentral:tRNA from 1 species
GGUUUGUGGCUCAGUGGUAGAGCGCUCACUUAUCAAGUGCAAGGCCCUGGGUUCAAUCCUCAGCACCA